rnacentral:lncRNA from 1 species
AUGUUGGUUUAAAAAGGCCAACAUUCUUUUCUGUGUCGGAAAAUCAGAUUAAGUUGAAUUAACAUCUUCGAAAUAGCAAAAGAGUUGAGUUGUAUUCAAAAUAAUAUAAGGGUGGUUGAACUGAAUCACAAUCGAAGCACAUAGGCGCUAUAUCUGUAGAUUUUAAUUAAGUAAAUUAAUUGUAUACUUUUGUCGAAUCGUUGGCGCUAACCAUUAAUCCCAAAAACUCGAACUGUUAAAAAUAUGCAACUAACUCACUUAAGCGUACAAAUAUAGCGUCUACGGAUCUUGAUUGUGACUCGGCCCAACCAGCCUCACGUCACUUAGAAUAUGACUCGGCCCAACCCAGCCUCACGUCAUUUCGAACAUGACUCGGCCCACACACGGCCUCCCACCACAGAACAGGAUGCUGACCCAUUUAAGCCAACAUAUUUUUAACAACUCGAAUUUUUUAAAUUAAUUGUUAGCAGCAACAAUCCAAUAAAAAAAAAAACUUUACAAAUAUUUUUA